GAUGAACGCUAGCGGCAGGCCUAACACAUGCAAGUCGAGGGGUAGAGGAAGCUUGCUUCCUUGAGACCGGCGCACGGGUGCGUAGCGCGUAUGCAAUCUACCUUUUACAGAGGGAUAGCCCAGAGAAAUUUGGAUUAAUACCUCAUAGUAUUUUCGAAUGGCAUCAUUUGAUUAUUAAAGUUCCAACGGUAAAAGUUGAGCAUGCGUCCUAUUAGCUAGAUGGUAAGGUAACGGCUUACCAUGGCAACGAUAGGUAGGGGUCCUGAGAGGGAGAUCCCCCACACUGGUACUGAGACACGGACCAGACUCCUACGGGAGGCAGCAGUGAGGAAUAUUGGACAAUGGGCGCAAGCCUGAUCCAGCCAUGCCGCGUGCAGGAAGACGCAUCUAUGGUGUGUAAACUGCUUUUGUACGGGAAGAAACACUCCCUCGUGAGGGAGCUUGACGGUACCGUAAGAAUAAGGAUCGGCUAACUCCGUGCCAGCCGCCGCAGUAACAC
rnacentral:rRNA from 1 species